CCUACGGGUGGCAGCAGUGAGGAAUAUUGGUCAAUGGACGAGAGUCUGAACCAGCCAAGUAGCGUGAAGGAUGACUGCCCUAUGGGUUGUAAACUUCUUUUAUAUGGGAAUAAAAUGUUCCACGUGUGGGAUUUUGUAUGUACCAUCUGAAUAAGGAUCGGCUAACUCCGUGCCAGCAGCUGCGGUAAUACGGAGGAUCCGAGCGUUAUCCGGAUUUAUUGGGUUUAAAGGGAGCGUAGGUGGAUUGUUAAGUCAGUUGUGAAAGUUUGCGGCUCAACCGUAAAAUUGCAGUUGAAACUGGCAGUCUUGAGUACAGUAGAGGUGGGCGGAAUUCGUGGUGUAGCGGUGAAAUGCUUAGAUAUCACGAAGAACUCCGAUUGCGAAGGCAGUUCACUGGACUGCAACUGACACUGAGGCUCGAAAGUGUGGGUAUCAAACAGGAUUAGAUACCCCUGUAGUC
rnacentral:rRNA from 1 species